rnacentral:rRNA from 1 species
AUUGAACGCUGGCGGCAGGCCUAACACAUGCAAGUCGAGCGCGAAAGUCUUCGGAUGAGUAAAGCGGCGAACGGGUGAGUAAUGCAUGGGAAUCUGCCUGGUAGUGGGGGACAACGUCUCGAAAGGGACGCUAAUACCGCAUACGCCCUACGGGGGAAGGGGGGAUCUUCGGACCUCUCGCUAUCAGAUGAGCCCAUGUCAGAUUAGCUAGUUGGUGAGGUAAAGGCUCACCAAGGCGACGAUCUGUAACUGGUCUGAGAGGAUGAUCAGUCACACUGGAACUGAGACACGGUCCAGACUCCUACGGGAGGCAGCAGUGGGGAAUAUUGGACAAUGGGGGCAACCCUGAUCCAGCAAUGCCGCGUGAGUGACGAAGGUCUUCGGA